rnacentral:rRNA from 1 species
AUACGUAGGGGGCGAGCGUUGUCCGGAAUUACUGGGCGUAAAGAGCGUGUAGGCGGGUGUUUAAGUCAGGUGUGAAAGACCGGGGCUCAACUCCGGGGUUGCACUUGAAACUGGGCAUCUUGAGGGCAGGAGAGGAAAGUGGAAUUCCUGGUGUAGCGGUGAAAUGCGUAGAUAUCAGGAGGAACACCGGUGGCGAAGGCGGCUUUCUGGACUGACCCUGACGCUGAGACGCGAAAGCGUGGGGAGCAAACAGGAUUAGAUACCCUGGUAGUCCACGCUGUAAACGAUGGGCACUAGGUGUAGGAGGUAUCGACCCCUUCUGUGCCGCAGCUAACGCAAUAAGUGCCCCGCCUGGGGAGUACGGUCGCAAGGCUGAA